rfam:TPA: Bos taurus chromosome 15, whole genome shotgun sequence.
UCUCUGGUGGUCCUGUGGUUAGGAUUCUGUGCUUCCACUGCUGAGGGCUUGGGUUCAAUCCCUGACCGGGGAA